CGGCCGAGAUGCUCAGACGUCUCUCUCAUGGCUAUUGUCACAACUCCGUCGGUCAAGUUAGGUUUGUCAAUUUCGUCCACGUUUUAGCAAUCGACACUGAAUAAAACGGCACACAUUGGGAAAUACUUCAUACAGAAUAGUUGUUGCGUUGUGUUUAUUUAAGUAUUGUAAUACUUAUAAAUAUGGGGCAAUUCGAAUAUAAAAAACUUGACUGGAAUACAAAUUCAAUGUUCCGAUAAUCGACAACAGGGAGAGAAGAUUAUAAAAUAUACUUUAUCUGUGUAUAGUUUUAACUGCUUACCUAUUAUAUAAACUGUAUAGAACUCCUGGAGGACGAAGCAAACAAAGAGAAUAUUACGAUUACACAAAAAUGUUUUAUCAAAGCGGGUGAAACGUUUUUUUCUAGAUCCGGGACUAGUUUCUCCACUAUCUCGAAGGACGUAAAUAUCGAGGACACUGGUUUGAUCAAAACUAACAAUGUUAUUCCCCAGAUUCUAAGGUCCAACAUAAACAAUAAACUAUUUCCGUAUACAUUAAAACAAAUAGACCCUCUCUCGUAUACGUAACAUCUGCGGGAAAACUAGAAUUGGAAGAAAUAAAUACAAGAAAAAGAAAAAUUGAUUAUUUGUCAAAUACAAUCUCCAUUAAAGAGGAGCAUAUGCAUUUGUUAGAAAAAGCAC